CCUACUGUUAAUGGAGCACGGGCUGGUCUCUUUCAAGGUUGUUGGGUGCAAGUGAAUUUGAUUUAUUUCCAGGAGAACCUCUUAUUGACAAACCCAUCCCUCUGUCCUAGGCAAGCACAGCCUAAAGAAAAAAAUGCAGCCAAGGGAACAUAGCUGUUCUGGACCAUGCAGGCCGCUAGGAAGGAGUGGGGAAGCUUUUCUUUUAAGAGACCCUUAAAUGGUGUUGCAAAGUGAUGUUCAACAUAGGCUCUUGGCAAAAGAGAACAGGAUUUAAAAGCACAGACCGGAAGUGUGGACAGCACCCAAACCAACACGUGUCAUCACAUACCUCUGGAUGUCCCUCACUUUGACAGUAAAGUGGCACUCAGCGUACAGGAUGGCUCGAAAACAGCCUUAGCUGACCGUGCACAAGUCAGAGCUCCACGAUUAUGGGCUAAGUAUGCAGCUAAGUAUAAUGACCUCACAAGCCACGAUGUGCCCUUACCUGCCGCUGCCAAUGGACGGGAACGCGAUGGACUUGAGCUUCUUAUCGUCUGCCAGGGCCAGACAGUUCUUCACCGUCUUUUCCAGAAGUUCCUCACACUUGUCUGCACCCCAGACCGGACUGUUACAGUGGAUCACAAACUUGGCAGGCAGGCCGUGACCUGCGCUGACAGCAGCUGGAGGAGACAAGACAGGAACAGUGAGUUCUGUCCCUCACAUGCCCAACACAGUGCCCUCCAGCUGCAGCGUGCCCCCAGGCUCCCCUGUGGCCUGCAUCCAGGGAGGGCUGCAGCUGCCUGCCAUCUUGUGCUUCUGAUGUCCCCCUAGAAACUGCUCACCAGCGAGUCUUCUCGGGAAACACCAGGUCAAGAGCCACCCUUGGAAAGCUGGCAUUGAGAUGCACCGCCACUAAGAAUUUUAGCCAAGAUUACAGCCAGCCCUCUCUGUACAAUCCUCCCAGAGGCGGACCCUGAACCACCUAACUUGACUGCCUGUGUCAGAAUGUUUGCAGCCUCAAAUUCGCCUCUGGGGAUCUCUAAGCCCCCUUCCUCCUGUGAACUCCUGUACACAUAAUUAUGAUGUGUCUAUAAAUCUCCCUGACAGAGUUCAGGAUAAACCUAUUAGGAAAGCAACUCCAUUUAAUGAGCCACUAAGCAACAUGACUGGCAGCUCUGGUGCCCUCUUCUCCUCCUGAACUGAUCUUCGUUUUUGACAGAAUUAAAUUGUUCUUUCACGCUGGAA